AGCUGGGGACUGAACCCAGGGCCUUGCGCUUCCUAGGCAAGCGCUCUACCACUGAGCUAAAUCCCCAACCCCUUAAGCUAGUAUCUUAAUAUUUCAGUAGGUCAGGGGAAUUAAGAGAAUACUGUGCACCAGGUAAGCAACAUUUCAGUGGCUUACUUUGGAAUCUAUAAAGACUCCAACCCACAAGGGAAGGGAGCUCAAUUAAUACUAUUAUUGUUCCUUGUCACAAGGACUGACCCUACUUUGAGUCACUCCCUGGGUAAGGAGGCACAAAGAUGUUAUUUAUGUUUCUGACAUAACUCACUCCCAACAACCUCCCUCACUCAAAACAAACAGAAGAAACUAAAAUGCAAAGAAAAGUCAGCAAUAAUAACUGAAAUCUUUAGCAACUGUGAAAUCUGUUUGCCAUGUAUUUCCCUCUGGUUCACAUGAUUGUCCAGCAUGAGAAGGAACUAUCUGGCAGGUAUCGAGUUGUGGCCAAUAAUACUAGGUGCUAAUGGACAGAGGUUUCCUUCAUCUUAGCCUCCUGGUAACUUUAUGACGGGAGCAUUGUUUUACAGCAACACCAACUGAGGUCCACAAAAAGCUACUCAGCUCUUUAGCGAGCCUGGAUGUGGACUGGGUCGAUUAACUGCAAAGCCAGUACAGAUCUAUGCUCCUCCUCUCAUAUCUUCCUGGUGUUACAUCAUCAGCUGCUCCUUCCUCAGCCAUGUCAUCCUGAUUCCUCCCUCUUCUGGUGUCAAGGUGCAACCUAUUAGCAAGCAAUGGGUCCCACUGCUAUGAUACUCAGUACAUCUCCAUAGCAUGGUCGACCUGUGUCUGGACUGCCACACAGACCUUAGUUACUGUCACUCCCAAGAUAGGAUUUCUCGGCAAAAUAUUUGAAUGUUUGAACAGACACUUGCACGCAUUUAGUUACAAGUUAAUAAAAGUUAUUUCAUUCCCCUAAGGUUGUUGAAAGUGAAUUUGUCACUUGCCAUUAAAAAAUAUACUAACAGCCUCCCAGCCUGCCUCCCAAAUGCUAGAACUAAAGAUAUGUGCCUGGAAUCAUUAUUUAUUGUAUUAUUUUGGUGUUUUGAGACAGAGAUUCUCUAUAUAGCCCUGACUGUCCUGGUACUCACUAUGUAGACCAAACUGGCCUGACCCUCAGAGACCAACAUGCAUUGUCUCUGGGAUUAAUGGUGUUUGCCACCAUGCCAAGCAGAAGAGUAAUUUACAAAGCCAGAAGUUCAUGGCACCCUUCUCUCUCUUCUACAAUACCCUGGACGGUGUUGUGGGGUGAAAGCAGUAAAGCUGGUACCAGCUGAUACGGGCAGGCAGUGAUGUGAAAUGGUUGAGACUGGAUUCUGCUCUGAAGCCAAACGUGUAUUUCUUGUUUUACUCUAAGUUAGCUUACUGCGUGGAGUCUCGGAUUUCUCAGCUGUAAAAUGGAUAUGGUUGGUGAGGUUUCCAAGGGUGAUUUACAAACCUCAAUUUAGCAUCGUGGUGGUUGUGGGGAACAAUGGCAGGAAAUGUACCUGGGGUUUUAGUUAUGUUUCAGAACACUUAAAAACCACCAUGUAUUGUAAUGCUAACUGUACCAAUUACAUGCCACACACAAAGAUUACAACAGUUAUUUGGUUUUUGGUUUGCUGUUGACAUUUUUAGAGAUACUGUCUCCUUUAUGUAGCUCAGGAUGGCCUUAAGAAAUGCUCGAUUAGCCAGAGGCCUCGUCCUGACACUCCGUAACAACACCUUUUAGCUCAGUUUGAAGGUAUCUCUACAGAACUGAAUUAAUUGAUUCUAUUAGUUUAUGAAAUCAGGGCGUCAGAGCAUUUCAGGUUUUCUAAAUAGCACUAACCUCUCUAGUGAGACACUCAUAAACACUACAUAGUGAGAAAGUCCAACAGCAACAGUCACAACAAAAAAACAUGUUCGGAGGGCAAAAGAUAGAAAAGGGCACUCCACUUCAGCCAGUAACUAGUGAGAGGAAAAAUCAGAUGUAUUUGUACAAACAAGGCAAGUAGCUGGGGAGGGUGACGGCCUCCUCCCAUAAAGUCUACUAUUUGCUCUAAGACAGAGUCUCAGCGUAAUUAUACUGUCCAUUCUUUCCUUAACUGAUCUCAGAAGUAGGUCUGCAAUUCCAGUUUGUCACAGGUACAAGUCAAAAGAGCAAACAUAAAACAUAACCAAUCGAGAUGAAGGGGCACUAUAAUCCCUUAAGUAGAGUUAGGAAUAUCAGAAGACCAAGGCUGUCUUCAGCCACAUAGGGAGUUCAAAGCAUGGUUGGGCUGCUGGGUUACAAGAGAGCCUGAUUCAACAAAACAAUGAAAUUCAGCACAACAAACAGAAAUAGGGUUGUUUAAUUCACCGGAUUAUUCCAGCAAAAGCAUCUGUUGGGCCCAAGUCAUCUGCUAAAGUAAACUGACUGGUUAUCCACAGAAGAGACUGAGAAAGAAAGAAAGAAAGAAAGAAAGAAAGAAAGAAAGAAAGAAAGAAAGAAAGAAACAAACAAACAAAAAACCCAGAAGGGCUGAACUGAAAAUCACAAAGCCUUUAGUCAUUUAAAGUUUCUUAUCCUAGUUUACUAUUUCUCUAGCGACUGGAUUCUAGUAGGUGACAGGGGACAAUAGAAUUUUCACAAACUCAGAGUUCUUCUCAAAGUGUCCAAAAGGUCAAGGUCUCAAAGGGAAACAAAACCUCCAACAUGUAAGGCUGUUAACAUCAUCUUGUUAUGACCUUAAUGAUGACGUCGUGGGCUCCGGACCACAGAGACCUCAAGGCUGCUGCGCUGGUGACUCGCUGCGGUAGUGGCCACGGUCCGAGCACAAGCAUCACCUGCGCAGGGGAACAAGAUCAAGAUGGAGAACUCUUGGUUCCUCCAACGUCUGCCUGCUCGCUGCAAUGCUUCCCACCAUGAUGGACUGAACCUCUAAAACUCUCUCCAGGGUCUCCAUUGAUAUUCCCGUGGGCUGGGACAGUUGGUGCCCAAAGUGUGGGGCCUGGAUACAGGGGUCUCCGUGAGGAAGAAGACUCAUGUGGCCGGCAUUAUAUAUAGAAAUUUCUUCGAACGCCGUGGGAGCCUGCUGUGGCCAAAACGAAGAAUCAGUGGCUGAAAACUGGCUCACUCCUGGGGACUGCAAUACACUAGUCUGUACUGUUCUGCCCGGAGGUGAUUAUCUUCUCUGGAAGUCAGAAUUUUUUGAAGAUUGUAGAGAGACUGUUGAAAGGAAUGCCCAGCAAAAUGACUGAAUUCAACUUGCUGUAGAUAUUCCUUUGGAUGUCCUUUUGAGACAAUGAAAAAUCACUUGUGAGGCUUCAGCACCAGGUAAAAGGGAUGCAACUUCCCCAUUUGCCUGGCGUUUUUUCCUGACAGAAAAUUAUACCAACCAUGCUAAAACUCAGAGUUAUGGUCAUCUCUUGGCUACGGCUGAUGGCCCACCUGUGGGAUGCCAAUCUGCUAAAAUGUUACAUUUUACAGAUUUUAAGACACUGCCUGGAAAAGUUGCUCCUGUCUUGUGCUUUUUUGUAUGAUCAGCAAUGUUCCUACAGUAUAGACAGACGGAUUGAAGAGAACGUGGGAUGUUCCUAUCAUUCAUGCAGAAUCCAUGAUGUUAGGACCUUAAGAAAUAAUGAGAUUAUUAUCCAAGGUCCUUAUCAGGGCCAUAAUUUUUACCGCACAUCCACAGGCUAUAUGUGGUUUGUUUGGGAUCCAUGGGAUUCUUGCUGGACUACACUGGUCAAGUGAGUCAUGUGUAUGACUAGAGAUACAACCUGGCCUAGCAGCUAUGUCUGUAUUUGGUGUUCUCUUGUCCAAGUACAAACCACCAUUCAUGCAGAAAUCAAAGAACAAGAAAAAGAGUUAAAUGCACAACUCACCUGUCUUCACAACAUCCUUUUUCCUGGCUCUGUCUUCUCAGAGAAGGCCUCGUGAUUGCCAACAUUACAGGUCUUGGCAAUGUUUCUGCAUGCCUCCUUUGUGCCACACUAGGACAUCCUCCUUUAACAGUAGUCCCAUAUUCCACCUCAUUUAAUGGCUCUAGUAAUAUUGAUAAAGGAUUCUCUCCCACCUCUGAUCUAUCACUGUUUUUGGUUCCUGAUCAGGGAACAAUUUAGCUUUUGCUAUUCUAAUGCUAGCACUACCUUGUGUAAUUUGACUAUUGUCCCAAAUACAGAUCUUUUUGCCCCUGAGGGGUAUUUUUUCUGGUGUAAUGGUACUCUUUCCAAAAAUCUUUCGACUCCUGUAAAUAAGGAGCUGCUGUGCCUUCCUGUUACCUUAGGGCCGCUGUUAACCCUUCGCACCCCAACUGAAUAUCUAGGUUGGGCUGGCCUGCCAUUCUUAAGGAUGAAAUGGGCUGUUUUCUUAUCCCUGGUAUCUCCCUUGCUACAUCCAUUGUGGCUGCUGGCUUGGCAGGAAGAACUUUAGGACAUUCCCUUCUCACCACUGCAAAACUUUCUCAACAGUUUCAUUUGGCAAUAGAGGCCUCAGCAGAGUCUCUGGCCUCCCUGCAAAGGCAGAUGAAUUCCCUUGCUCAGGUCGGGCAAGCCUUAGAUCUGAUGGUGGAAAAGGGCAGAACAUGCCUGUUCCUGGGAGAAGAAUGCUGUUUCUAUGUCAACGAAUCUGGCUUGGUGGAAACCCAAGUUAAUAAGUUACACAAGCUCAGCGCUGAACUACAGAGACAGGAAUUUUCCUCUGCUGCUGAUGGUUGGUGGAGAUCAUCUAUGUUUUCUCUUUUGAUGCCCUUUGUGGGACCUCUGAUUAGUAUUUUGCUUUUGGUUACACUGGGACCCGUGAUUUUCAACAGGCUCAUGCUUUUAUUAAACAACAAAUCGAAGCCAUUCGGGCUAGGCCUACACAGGUCCAUUAUCAUCGCCUUGAGAUGAAUGAUCUAGGUCUGCUGCCAACUACCUCCCCUGUGAGCUGAACUGCACAGUCAGUGACUAGUAAGAGAGCAACAUUCUCUGACCAUUUGGGGCCUAAGACAGGAGGAUCACCAUAAGCUGUUGCUUUAUCCAAUGAUGGGCCUAGAGAAAUAAGAAUGUCUUGCUCCGACCUAAGACAGACACAGUUCCCGAGGGGCUCUUUUGUGGCUUGAAAUAAUAAAAAAGGGGGACCUGUCCAGGGC
rnacentral:sRNA from 1 species